GCUAUUUUGAAAUGACAGUGGGUGAUGUCAUAGAGGGUGACUGAGAUCAAGGGCUGGCCGGGCAGAAAAUCCUCUCUGGAUGACACUGGUCUUGAGACCUCAAUUCUAUCUCCUCUGUAAGGAACACUAAAAAGAAGCAAGUUGUAGUGUUCUCCAUUCUCUGAGCAUCUAUAAUGACAGGUCCUGCCUACUUUAACUUCAUAUGCUUUAUUUACAUGCCAUAGAUAUUUUUAAGGAUAAUGAAUAAAACAUCUAAAGACCCAGAUGUUUGAAAAGUAGGUGCUUGUCUCCAUGGACAGUCAUCCCAAAUGAAGGCACCAGCAGGACAGGAGGGAAGAAGUAAAGAGGGACAUUAUUGCUGCAGUCCAACAUCCUCCCAGGCCCUCCAGGCAGUUCAGACUUCAGACACCCAUGUCCUGUCAUCAGUCAACUUCAGGAAAUUUUUCAAAAUUGCUGCCCAAUCUGCAAGGACAGAAGACUACAGGCUCCACAAAAAGGCAACUACCCAUGUCUCUUUUCUCGACAAACACAUACCAAAUUUGCCAGGUGCUUGGCAAUGCAAGAUGUUCAACAUUUGUUGAAAUAAGAGCCUAUACCACAGACUUGGGAGGUGGACAUUUUUUCAAAUGAAGAAAUGGAAUCUCAAGAGAUUAAGUGCCAGGAUCACAUAGCUGGUGACAGAGUGGAGGUUCUAACUUGAGGUUUGUGUUGCUUAAUUUUUAAGGCUUUUUUCUACUACACAAGAGAUAGAAUGCAACUUGCUAAUGGCUGUCAAAGGUACGAUAGAGUUUGGGUUUCUAGGUCACCCAAUGGGAGGAAGAUUAAAGAGGUGAUGAUUAGGAAUCUUUGACACAGAGAAAAACCAAUGGUCUCAGACACAUUUAGAGAGAAAAGUUUCCAUAUCUCUGGGUCCACUGAAGCUAUCAAAUGGUGGUUGAGAUCAUGCAUUCUGGGGCUCUUUUGGUUUUAACCCCAGUCUCACUUUUAACUAGCUCUGUAACGCCAGGUAAAUUACUAAUGUUUGUGCCUAGUUUCCUUGUCUUUAU
rnacentral:lncRNA from 1 species